rnacentral:rRNA from 1 species
ACAUGCCUACAACAUAUUGUUAAUGCAUCAGAUCCCAUUAGAACUUCAUAGUUAAGUGCAUUGAGGCUAGAGUGGUACUAGGAUGGGUGAUUGCUUGAGAAGUCUUAGUGUUUUACAUGCC